GGCGGCGUCGUAAGUCAGGGGUGAAAUCCCGGGGCUCAACCCCGGAACUGCUUUCGAGACUGCGGACCUGGAGACCAGUAGGGGUUGGUGGAAUUCCCGGUGUAGCGGUGGAAUGCGUAGAGAUCGGGAAGAACACCGGUGGCGAAGGCGGCCAACUGGGCUGGAUCUGACGCUGAGGCGCGAAAGCGUGGGGAGCAAACAG
rnacentral:rRNA from 1 species